rnacentral:rRNA from 1 species
AGUGAACGCUGGCGGUAGGCCUAACACAUGCAAGUCGAACGGCAGCACAGGAGAGCUUGCUCUCUGGGUGGCGAGUGGCGGACGGGUGAGGAAUACAUCGGAAUCUGCCCAGUCGUGGGGGAUAACGUAGGGAAACUUACGCUAAUACCGCAUACGACCUUCGGGUGAAAGAGGGGGAUCGCAAGACCUCUCUCGAUUGGAUGAGCCGAUGUCGGAUUAGCUAGUUGGCGGGGUAAUGGCGCACCAAGGCGACGAUCCGUAGCUGGUCUGAGAGGAUGAUCAGCCACACUGGAACUGAGACACGGUCCAGACUCCUACGGGAGGCAGCAGUGGGGAAUAUUGGACAAUGGGCGCAAGCCUGAUCCAGCCAUACCGCGUGGGUGAAGAAGGCCUUCGGGUUGUAAAGCCCUUUUGUUGGGAAAGAAAUCUUUCAGGCUAAUACCCUGGGAGGAUGACGGUACCCAAAGAAUAAGCACCGGCUAACUUCGUG